CUUGCAAGUAAAUAAGUGAUGAUCCAAUGGGAUUUGCACGAAAAUGAUCGCGACACGACUGUUCAAAUAAAAAUCGGAAACUCAUUAGAAAGGCUGUUCUAGGUCGAUCGGAACGACAAGUUUGGCCACAUUUCUCUAGUCAUGAUGUAUUAAAGGAUUCAGCAGCGGUCGACAAAGCAUAGAAUAACAAGCCUUAUGCAUCUCGAAGGGUAAGGCACUGUGUUUCAGUGCCGGCCACAAGAACGGUACCAAAUCGGGGCAAAACUGAAGGCUUGUGGAGUGCAGGCACUCCAGCACAACUCGCAUCAGCAACUAUCAUUGAAAUUGAUAUUCAAUUCUAAUCCCAUUCCUUCUCUCGUGCGCAUUUAAACAAAUCAAAAGUAAUGUCAACUUCAUAUUAAAUUGUUCAAGUGCCAAAUUUAUUGCCCCGGGAUUUUUCAUA